rnacentral:rRNA from 1 species
UACGAAGGGGGCUAGCGUUGCUCGGAGUCACUGGGCGUAAAGGGUGCGUAGGCGGGGUUUUAAGUCAGGGGUGAAAUCCUGGAGCUCAACUCCAGAACUGCCUUUGAUACUGAAGAUCUUGAGUUCGGGAGAGGUGAGUGGAACUGCGAGUGUAGAGGUGAAAUUCGUAGAUAUUCGCAAGAACACCAGUGGCGAAGGCGGCUCACUGGCCCGAUACUGACGCUGAGGCACGAAAGCGUGGGGAGCAAACAGG